CAUCUUAAAUAUUUUCUGCAUUGACGCUAUGUUUUGCUUUAAGUUUCAAAGUUUUGGUACUACUCCUCCUUGACUUUUUCGAACAUUUGCAAAUUUGUUCAUCAAAUGGUUGUAAUCAGUCACUGAAUUCAAUCCUUCCUAAUGAGGACAUAUUAUUAUGUUAGUUUUCUUUUCGAUAAGGAAUUAUUGUGUCAAUUUUCCUUUCUACCUUUUAUUCAGUAGCCACUUCAAACUUGGAAGGUUACCAUAAAUUAUUCAGUAGCCACUUCAAACUUGGAAGGUUACCAUAGCCACUUGUUAAGAAAGGUAGAAAGGAAAAUUAACACAAUAAUUGCUUAUCGAAAAGAAAACUAACUUAAUAAUAUGUCCUCAUUAGGAAGGAUUGGAAUUCAGUGACUGAUUACAACCAUUUGAUGAACAAAUUUGCAAAUGUUCGAGAAAGUCAAGGAGGAGUAGUACCAAAACUUUGAAACUUAAAGCAAAACAUAGCGUCAAUGCAGAAAAAUAUUUAAGAUGUUUAGCUCACCUUUAAUAAUGAUCCAAAUAUGAUCUUCCGAACCGCCUUGUCGACCCAUUACGCAAGUCCAUAUUCUUGAGAGCUGGCGUUCUGAUCGUAAGGCCUCUCAAGAAGAGCUUUGACAUUUCUCCUGAAGUAAGGCAUAGUCUUCAUCUACAUCAGCUGCCUCACCCUGACGACGCCUCUUUAAUGCACCAUUCGCAAGCCCUUUUCCCUUCUGAGUAACAGGACCAAAAGGCUCAAUAUCACUGUCAUUUUCGAGGACAGCUCUUGAAAAUGGCUGAUUUUCUACUUUAUCUGAAUCCUUCUCAUCCCCAGCGUCUUGUUGUUUCCCCCCUCCUAAAUGUUCGUACUCUUCAUCUGAUCCAUCUUAUUUCUCGUUAUCUACACACAGAGGAAACCCAUCGCUUCUAUCGAUCUUGAGCACAUAUGAGUUCCCUUUUGGCUUAGAAUUAGCCAAAAACUUCUUGUAAUCUGGAUCAUCCUCAUCCUCGUUUUCGUGCUCAUACUCGUCCACAUCAUUAUUAAGCUUAUCUCUAACAACAGCGGAACCUUCAUUUCCGCCUUCAUUUGUGGACUCUUUAUGAUAGUCAAGGGAAAGCAUUAAAAAGUGCAUAAUCUUCAUCGGUAUCCGUCGAUUCUCUGAUCUCCCUUUUGAAACUGAGUGCACUCUCUCUCGAUAAACAUUGAACUUCAUACAUAACUCCAAGAGGUGUCACGCCAUUUUAAUGGGAUUAAGCUUUUAAUAACAAACAGAUCAGACCAACAGUGAAGUAUGGAAACGGAGGAAAAGAGCUGAUGUUCAUUCCCAAGUUCAGCCCCAGCAUCAAAGAACUUUGAAAAUGGUACACGCCUUCCUGAAUUGAACUUAUCGUCAGGGAUUCUUGGUGCAGCUCCUUUAGAUAUCCAACAGUCGGUACUGGUAGGCUUACAGAACACAUCAGUCUGGCCUGCCCAAAGACCAGGUUUCUUGUCCGGUCCCAGAUAGAUCUCCUACUGGACAUAAACUGCCAUGGUGGUACCCCUGCAGGGAAGCCAUUCAAUUUUAUCUCAGUGGCUUGAGCUGCUUCGGUCUAUAUUCUUUACCUGGAAUUGCGUUGGCCCAUGGGAAUACAAAGUUUUGCCUAUUCCUUGGUGACACAUCUGCUAUUCUGAAGCAACUCUAAACCAGCGGAUUGCAUCAUUUAGAAGCCAGAAGCAGUGAACUCGGAGGCCCUUUCCUAGAUCCAGGGGAUGAAGAUUUGGAUAUUUUGAAAUUUGUAGGGCACAAAUUUUUUCCCAUUAUAGAUAAAAUCCCCAUCUUUUUUUGUUUUGACGUAUAUAGUGGAUAGUGAAAGAGCAUUUCCCUAGGUCAUAUGUGACAUUACGUCACAGUCUGUAUAUAUUAUGCUUUACGCGAAGUGUACAUUGUCAAAUUUUGCUUAUUCAAUAACUCAACAUUAUUCAUUAUAACUGUGCUCCACUUGAUUAGUUCUCUUUUCUCUGUCAACUAGCUUUCUGCAUUUACUGGUUUCUUCUGGCACUAUGCCAAUGGGUUUUUACCAGGUUUAGAGUUUUUACUUUUCUAUCUGGCAUUACUAUAAGGUACAGCUCACAUAUAUAUACUUGUCAGCAGAGCUCACAUCCAAAUUCUUUACUGUGUUGAGGGGCUUUGUUUUAACUGCUGAUCUUGUUACUGAUUCAGUUGUAGUGCUGAUGAAGUCACGAACAAAUAUCAUCAACGAUAAUCAGUCCGAUGAGGAUAUGGCUGAGUUGUUUCAUAGUGUAGCAGCUAUGGAUAUUACAUUCCAAGCCUCAAGGUGUGUGUUUUGGCAUUUUGUUUUGUUUUACAUUUAUUUAUGGUGCCUUUAUUUAUUGUUGUUUGUUCCAUUAAGGUAUUGUUAGCAUUGAAUUUUUUGUUAGGAAACUGAUAAUGGACGGCAUGUGAAUCGACUGAGGAAGCAUCAAUCAAGUGAAGUUAGGAGAUUGGUGAAGAUGCUUGUGAGGUUUGAUUUUUUCAUGAAUUUUAUUAUGAUUUUAGUUGAAUGAAGCAGUUAAAGAAUAGUUACAGCUGCUGCAAGCUUAUGUGAUCCCUUUUUUUGCAAGGAGUUUCUGGUUUGCUUUGAUUCUUUUCUUUCUUUCUUCUUUUUGUGCCAGAAAAGGAAAAUUGUUGAUGAUUGGUAAUAUCAUCUACAAAAGCCGAUUUUAGUCUCUCCUUUAUGUUUAGAAGCUACAAUGUGGGCUAGAGUUGAGGUUAAGGGCAAUAGCACAGAAAGGAAUUGACAAAGAAAAAUGAUAUGGGUUCUGCUGAGUUGAUUUACUGCUCUCAUUUUACUCUAAUUUAGAAGCGACAGUUGGUGUGUACAAACACCGCACAAGUUACUUGUACGAAAAGCAAUGUAAAUUGUGCCAUGGGGUGUGCCAACAAGGGCCCAUUUAACGACAGCAUCAUUUAAUAUGGGCAUUUUCGUUCCCACUUACAGCCCUUUGAUUUAUCUUCUAGGUUACACGUGUUUAUAGAGGUUGGACAACUGGCUUCAUUCAUGACGUAGCAGUUCUAAUGAUCUUCUUCUUAGGAUUACCCCGGCUCUAUUUGGUCACUCCUAUUUUUUUUUUUUUUUUUUUUUUUUUUUUUUUUUUUUUUUUGGCUUCUUUCCACUCUCAAUUUCUGUCUCAUUCUCACAUUCGGUGAUUUAAGUUUCUGUUUUUCUCUUUCCCAGUUUCAUCACCUCCUUGCGCAAGCUUUGAGUUCUUCUCUUCCAGUGACAUGUACCUGUUGCAGUUCAUAUUUGAUUUUAUUUUGUCUCCAAUUUUAGUAUUUCUUCUUUCUUUGUAGGGUAUAUUCUGAAAUAGAUGUCUUGGUGCAUGUUCUGGUACCGUGUUACUUUUGAUUUGGGUUUGGUAAAAUGGUGUUUAGAGGGUGAUAUUGGUACAAGAAAUAAACCAGAAUACCCAAUCUAUUUAGGAAAUAAAGAAUUGUGAGAGGAGGUUUUCGUAGAAAAGAUUAAAACAAAAUACUUUCUUUUGGCAAUAUAGAAAUAUUUAAAGCAUGUCAAUUUUGUUCCUUCUCAGCUUUCCUUUCAUGUCUCUUGAACAUAUAUGUGAGGACUAUGAUAUCAUGAUCUAAGGCUAUUGCACGUACUGUUUUGUCAUUUUUUGUGAUUUUUCUUUUGAAUUGUUGCGAUGUACUUUGAAAAAUAAAAUGGGGCACGAAGUAGCUUGCUUUUCAGGUCUUAAUCUCUAUGUACUCCCUUGAAUAAACUUGUCUUAAUCUCUAUGUACUCCCUUGAAUAAACUUUCUUUUUUGUGCUAAUCUAAUCUUUUGACUUUGCAGAAUGCAUUCCAGAUAACAUAUUUUCAAUGGAUAUGGGUAAUAAUUCUUCUCCUAUGUCAAAGAUCAAAUCCUGAUAUCGCUAGAUUGUCUUUUUGUUUUUGUUUGUGCCAUAAAAUAUGGUUGAUAUGAGGAUUCUACUUUUUCUGUAGUAUGAGUAUGGGGUGAAAUCAUGCUUCCACGAGGCGUUUGAGAUGGUCAUUGCAAAAAUAGUUGUAGGGUAUGUUUCUUCAUUCUUGCUAGCAGAAACUCAACUUUGGUGCAUUUACUAUCUUAGUUCCUAAGCUUAGCGAAUCCAGUUUGCUCUUGUUAAUCCAAUUUGCCAUUUAUAUUACUGGGUAGGAGUCUUAUUCGUAUGCGGUUAUAUCCCCCUUCCUCUUUAUGCUCUUAUAACUCAGGUACCAUCACAGACCUAUGUAUCUACAUUUUAUUAUUGUCCCAGAUUACCUUGCACAUUUGCUAUUGCUUUGUCAAGAGAUGAAAGUUCACGACAUGAAACUACUGAUGUUUCUAGUCUUUUAGCAUGAUUUGCUGUUAAUUUAGAAAAAAGCAUUUGCCUUUUUGUAGAUGGGAUCCCAUAUGAAAAAAUCCUUCUUUGUUGGGCAAACCUCCAAGGCACUGAAGUAGUGCAUAUGACUAGGCUUAAUAGAGAGCUCUCUUUUGUAUCCAUCAUGAUUGAAUUUUGAUCACUUGUGGCUUGAUUCAUUUUAUUUUGUAGGCACGGGAUAUAAGAAGUACGUCUCAUCGCCUAACAACCCAAAAAGGGUCACAAAAUGGAAGCAACACCACAAAUUCAUGCAGAGUGGUCAUUGAACAUUAUUUAGGAUUUAUUGUAGUUAAUGCCCCUGUUGCAUUGAAUGGAUGUAAAAUACAACUCAAAGUUUUAAUACAUUUUAUGAUGUAAUUUGAAGUACUUAUGAGUUCUAGUAUAUAUAACGAAUGAUUUACUU